rnacentral:tRNA from 1 species
AAAUAUAUAGCUUAUAUAGAGCAAUUUACUGAAGAUAAAGAGGACUAACUCAUCUUUA